UGCGAGCGUGACGGCGCGAGCAGGUGCGAAAGCAGGUCAUAGUGAUCCGGUGGUUCUGAAUGGAAGGGCCAUCGCUCAACGGAUAAAAGGUACUCCGGGGAUAACAGGCUGAUACCGCCCAAGAGUUCAUAUCGACGGCGGUGUUUGGCACCUCGAUGUCGGCUCAUCACAUCCUGGGGCUGAAGUAGGUCCCAAGGGUAUGGCUGUUCGCCAUUUAAAGUGGUACGCGAGCUGGGUUUAGAACGUCGUGAGACAGUUCGGUCCCUAUCUGCCGUGGGCGCUGGAGAACUGAGGGGGGCUGCUCCUAGUACGAGAGGACCGGAGUGGACGCAUCACUGGUGUUCGGGUUGUCAUGCCAAUGGCACUGCCCGGUAGCUAAAUGCGGAAGAGAUAAGUGCUGAAAGCAUCUAAGCACGAAACUUGCCCCGAGAUGAGUUCUCCCUGACCCUUUAAGGGUCCUGAAGGAACGUUGAA
rnacentral:rRNA from 1 species